rnacentral:rRNA from 1 species
UGGGGAAUUUUGGACAAUGGGCGAAAGCCUGAUCCAGCAAUGCCGCGUGUGUGAAGAAGGCCUUCGGGUUGUAAAGCACUUUUGUCCGGAAAGAAAACGCCGUGGUUAAUACCCGUGGCGGAUGACGGUACCGGAAGAAUAAGCACCGGCUAACUACGUGCCAGCAGCCGCGGUAAUACGUAGGGUGCAAGCGUUAAUCGGAAUCACUGGGCGUAAAGCGUGCGCAGGCGGUCCGCUAAGACAGAUGUGAAAUCCCCGGGCUUAACCUGGGAACUGCAUUUGUGACUGGCGGGCUAGAGUAGGGCAGAGGGGGGUAGAAUUCCACGUGUAGCAGUGAAAUGCGUAGAGAUGUGGAGGAAUACCGAUGGCGAAGGCAGCCCCCUGAGCCAAUACUGACGCUCAUGCACGAAAGCGUGGGGAGCAAACAGG